rnacentral:rRNA from 1 species
UUACGCUGUUAUCCCUAAGGUAAUUUAGUCUUAUAAUCAACAAAAAUGGAUCAAAUAUAUAUAAAUAAAUAUAAAAAAAUAAAAAGAGUUAAUUAAAUCUUUCCAUCACCCCAACAAAAUAAAUUUUCAAAUUAAAAAAAUAUCAUACAAAAAAAUAAAAACAUAUAUAAACUCUAUAGGGUCUUCUCGUCCCAAAAAAAUAUUUAGGCAUUUUAACCUAAAAUUUAAAUUCAAUAAAUAAAUUAAAGACAGUUUACACCUCGUCAAACCAUUCAUUCCAGCCUACAAUUAAAAGACUAAUGAUUAUGCUACCUUUGCACGGUCAAAAUACCGCGGCCCUUCAAUACUCAGUGGGCAGGCCAUACAUCAAAAUAUAUUCAAGAAGAGAUGUUUUUGAUAAACAGGCG